AAUAGCCUCGGUAGCG
rnacentral:sRNA from 1 species